rnacentral:lncRNA from 1 species
AAAGUGCUUGUUUUUCUAUACAGCAAAGAAGGAGAAAUUGUACCGGGCCGACACCAAACAAAAUGCAGAUACUAGAAGAUCAUCGAAUAAUGACGAAUCGUCAGUAACUUACGAAAGUCUAGAAGGGAGUCAAAAAGAAAAAAAAAUCCAUACAGCCAACUUCCAGCUUCGCAUGAAUCACUUGACGAUGUAACAAGGGAAAGAAGUUCAUACAUGACAUUGCAGGGUUCUAAAAGAAAGCGAUACACUCCAGAUUACAUAAAUAUUCGAAUCUAAAUGCUCUGGUCUUUUCCAUUUAUGUGAAUGGAAAAUAUUGCAUUUUUUUUCCAUCUUAUUAUUGCAACUUGUUCUUGUUAUUCUCCAUAUUUUAGUGUGUUUUUUUUUUCGUUCCAGAUCAGAGAGUAAUCACAAACGAUUUAUAUGUACACUUUUUGACACUGUAUUUUAGGACUGCCAUUCUUUCAGAGCAAACUUUUUACAGUAUUUAUGUUUGUGUCUUAAAUACAAAAAUGUGAUUUUCCUCCGCCUACAUUAUUGUUCUGUCUUAAUGUCCAUUGUAUGUGGAGAAAAAUAAAAAAAAAAUAUUAUUUUUCUCAAUGCUUACAGGAAAUAUCUGUUGGGCUGAAUACUAUAUAUUCAUUUUUCUGAUUGGGAAUGGUUAUCACAUCCGUAUAUUUCAUAGAAAAAACGCUCUGCGCUAUGUGGCUGUAAAUGCACUGUUAAAAUCCGAGAUGUUUCUGUUCAAGAUCUUCAAAAUAUGAAUGAUACAUGAUUUUAAACUAGAUUUAAAGUUAAUGGAGUUAUAAACAAAAUUUCGUUGAAAUAGAACCAUUGAAAUAUCAUGUGUAAUGCAUACACAAAACUGCGACAGAAUAACUUUCUCUUCGUACUGCCAUUUAACAUCUUAUACAUUAAUUUUAACAAUUAAAUAAACACACUGACAAUAAUAUUA